rnacentral:lncRNA from 1 species
GGGCCGCCCUGCGUGCGACAGGGCCUCCGGACACACCCUCCCCGCAGCGGCUGGUGCCCCUCCCUCCACCUUGCUAGACUCCUGUCUCUAGCAUUUCUGUAAAUUGGAGUGGGUUCUCCUGCUUCCAGGUCACUCAGGUCUCCUGUAUUUUUUCAGAAUCGAUCUCCUCCUGGAGGACUCCGGUGUCCCCCCAACCAGAUUUCUGUCAUUAUUCUCACACUUCUUAAACUCACAGCCCACCUAGCCUCUGGAGAGAUUUCCUAAGACUGAGUCUCCUGCCCUGUGCUGCCUGCCGUUCAGAGGAGCUCUCCAUAGCCCUGGCAUGGGUGGGGACUAACAGGUGGGGACCAAGAGAAGCCCAAGGAUGGGGCCCUCCUGCCCCCACUGAGGCAGAAAACAGGGUUCUCUUGCUAGGAUACAGAGCAAACCAAACAGGAUCCUUAAUAUAGGUUGAAGGGCCUUGAUUGGGAAAUUCUCCAUCCUCAGUCUUUGGCAUACCUCACCUACCCGCAGUGCACCCACAGUUCUGAUGAGACUGUAAGCGUGGUGAGGGCAGGGACCAUAGCUGUCCUGGUCUCUGCUCAGUCCUGGCCCACUGCGGCCUUUACUGUGUGAGGAAUGAACAAAUGCUGUUGGGCUAGGGGUUUCCCCCUGUGCUGGCUGUUUGUCAUCAGUACCUUUAUUACUUUCAUGCUCCUCGCCCUGCAUGCACAAGUAUCCUUCCCUAUUUGGAUAGCACCUACUCCUCCUGUCUUCCCUGAACCCCUGACCCAGCUCUGUGCUGUGUCCACCAAGUGCCUUCCUGCCUGUCUGCACUCCCAGGUUGGUUGUGUAUAGGGAUCUCCCCCACUGGAUUGGGAGAGCCACACAGAGAUGGUCUCUGUCCUCA